GAUGUGUCAGAUAAAGCUGAGGUGUUGGGGGAGUACAUACUACAGUUUGGGAAGUACAGAGGCAAGUCCUUCAGGUGGCUGCUGGAAAAUGAUGUUGGAUACACUAUGUACCUCAUCAAAAAAUUUGGAAAAAGAAAAAGAGGCAGGCCAUUUCAGUACAGAGGGGAGCAGCAAAAUCAGUUUGCAGUCCUUUUUGGAAUAUGCCAUGAGCUUCAAAGAUAUUGAGGAGCUUUCAAAGUUUGAGUCUCACAAAACGAAUUCUCCUGCUGUGACCUCAGAUUGUGACACUCUGGUUGGCUUUGGUAAUCGGGCCAAAAGUACAUGGGGAGAAAUAUGGGAGAGCAGAGCUGCUGGGUACGCUUUCUUCAUUAUGUCAAGGAAAUGUGGUACAGGUUCAAAAAUGACAAACUGCAGCAGUACCUGCUAAUGAAAAAAGAGUCAUUGCCAUCAACCGUUACAUCACCAGCCUCUACUGCAACUCCUUACUCCCAAGAUUCACCAGCAUCAGCAGCUGUAGGAGCACCAUCUGUGUCUACUGGCAGAGGACAUGUUCAUGACAACAUGUCCAUCAAAACCUCCGUCUCCAUGAGGGUAAGUGUUCAUUUGAGUUCCCUUUUUGCAUGUCCUCUGAAUUUCUGUGCAUGUGCAUGUAUGAUAUAUUUAGUCUACAAGGUCAUUCAAUUGUGUAUUUGUGAAAUAAGUGUACUAUAAGUAAGUAAUCACUGUAGUCUACAUGUUGAUUUUUUACCUUUUGGUAUUUGUGAUUCCAGCACCAACACACCCUGCACGUCAGCCUGUGCCACCAGCACCAACA